rnacentral:rRNA from 1 species
UACGGAGGGGGCAAGCGUUGUUCGGAGUUACUGGGCGUAAAGCGCGCGUAGGCGGUGCGGUAAGUCUGGGGUUAAAGGCUGCAGCUCAACUGCAGUAAGGCCUUUGAUACUAUCGCGCUAGAGUACCAGAGAGGAUGGCGGAAUUCCCGGUGUAGCGGUGAAAUGCGUAGAUAUCGGGAGGAAUACCAGUGGCGAAGGCGGCCUUCUGGACGGUUACUGACGCUGAGACGCGAAAGCGUGGGGAGCAAACAGG